GCCCCCAUCGUCUAGAGGCCUAGGACACCGGCCUUUCAAGCCGGUAACAGCGAUUCGAAUUCGCUUGGGGGCA
rnacentral:tRNA from 1 species